UUGAACUUUGAUGGAAAUUGUUUGUUUGUUAAAACUAGUCUACUAUUUUUCAUUAUUUAUUUAAUUUAUUCAGAAAUGACUAUUUUAUUACGUAAAGUUCGAAAUGCAUGCAAGUGUGGAUGCGACGAGCAUUGGAUUUACCAUGUUAAAAAAAGAAUUUCAUGAAGAUUUAAAUUUGGAUUAAAUGACAAACUUAAUAAAUAUAAUUACAAUACAACAUUAUUUAUAAUAAUAACAUGAGCACAUGAAGGGCACAUGAAAAGCACAUGAAAA
rnacentral:lncRNA from 1 species